rnacentral:rRNA from 1 species
GACGAACGCUGGCGGCGUGCUUAACACAUGCAAGUCGAACGGAAAGGCCCUGCUUUUGUGGGGUGCUCGAGUGGCGAACGGGUGAGUAACACGUGAGUAACCUGCCCUUGACUUUGGGAUAACUUCAGGAAACUGGGGCUAAUACCGGAUAGGAGCUCCUGCUGCAUGGUGGGGGUUGGAAAGUUUCGGCGGUUGGGGAUGGACUCGCGGCUUAUCAGCUUGUUGGUGGGGUAGUGGCUUACCAAGGCUUUGACGGGUAGCCGGCCUGAGAGGGUGACCGGCCACAUUGGGACUGAGAUACGGCCCAGACUCCUACGGGAGGCAGCAGUGGGGAAUAUUGCACAAUGGGCGGAAGCCUGAUGCAGCAACGCCGCGUGCGGGAUGACGUCCUUCUGGUUGUAAACCGCUUUCGCCGGUGACGAAGCGUGAGUGACGGUAAUGGGUAAAGAAGCACCGGCUAACUACGUG